UGCGCAGGCGGCUUUGCAAGACAGGUGUGUAAUCCCCGGGCCUAACCUGGGAACUGCAUUUGUGACUGCAUCGCUAGAGUCUGUCAGAGGGGGGUGGAAUUCCACGUGUAGCAGUGAAAUGCGUAGAGAUGUGGAAGAACACCGAUGGCGAAGGCAGCCCCCUGGGAUGAGACUGACGCUCAUGUACGAAAGCGUGGGGAGCAAACAGGAUUAGAUACCCUGGUAGUCC
rnacentral:rRNA from 1 species